CACAAGGAGUGAAGUUAUAAGUUUUUUUGCAUAUAGACACUCAAGCACAAGCAUUUUAUUAUCAUAUAUCUUUUAUUUGAAUUUUCAGUAUUUUACAUAUUUGAAAAGUUAGAUUACAAACAUAGAUUCAUUUUUUUUUCUCUUUAGUGUCAGAUGAACAUGUUGUAAUAUAAAUGAAGGCAAUCAAUUUAUAUACUCUCAAUUGAUGCUUGAGAGAUUUUUACGUGUUGUCAUACGAGCAAGUAAAUUAUACUUCCAUGAUGAUCCAAUCACAAAAAUUAUACACACCCACCCAGAAAGAGAAAUUCUGCACAAAUACAUAUGGGUGUCUACGGUUAUUUACUCAAGAUAUCAAAUCAUGUUAUUAUUAUCUACACGGCCCUUACAACAAUAUGGAAACAAUGAAGAUAAUGCUCCAAAAUAAAUCCGCCCAGUUGCGACGACCAGUGUUAUCACAAAAGAUGGUCUGGAUUCAGCUCAACACAUGCUCAAUAGCUUGUUGGCUAUUCUGCAAAGCCUUCAACCAUGCUGUGGAGUUGCCCAACAACCAAUUGAUGGCUUCUUCUUCUCGCAACCUGGCUGUGGAGACUGGUGGUGAAAAUCAACUAUCAUGACUCAUAUGCGGUAUAUAUAUGUGCUCACGCAUGUCAAAGAGAUGACAUGAACUCAUUCAGAACCUGUUAAGAUGAAGCUGUUGAAAAGAAAAAAGCACCAUCUUCAGGAUCUGAGGGAAGUAUAUUUAAACAAAAAAAUGGGGAAUGGAUUGGAGCAGCAGCAGGAACAUAAUCAUAUAAAAGAAUCAGAGAAUGCAGAGACCGGUGCCCUUUGGGAUCGACUUUUAUAUUUAAACUAAAUGUAUCUUUCUUUAUCCGCGCCUCUUAUAAUUAAUGUACAUAAGAAUGUAAGAAAACUGUUAGAUGUUGAAGUUGCAUUAUUAAUAUACAUUAAUUUGCUACAUACGCAUUGUAAUGAAAUUGUAUCAAAUGGAUGGUUUUUUUAGUA